rnacentral:miRNA from 1 species
GUAUACACCUGAUAUGUGUAUG